GCCAGACUCCUACGGGAGGCAGCAGUGAGGAAUAUUGGUCAAUGGGCGGGGGCCUGAACCAGCCAAGUCGCGUGAGGGAAGACGGUCCUAUGGAUUGUAAACCUCUUUAGGCGGGGAGCAAUGCCGGGCACGUGUGCCCGGAGGGAGAGUACCCGCAGAAUAAGCAUCGGCUAACUCCGUGCCAGCAGCCGCGGUAAUACGGAGGAUGCGAGCGUUAUCCGGAUUUAUUGGGUUUAAAGGGUGCGUAGGCGGGCUGUUAAGUCAGCGGUCAAAUGUCGGGGCUCAACCCCGGCCUGCCGUUGAAACUGGCGGCCUCGGGUGGGCGAGAAGUAUGCGGAGUGCGUGGUGUAGCGGUGAAAUGCAUAGAUAUCACGCAGAACUCCGAUUGCGAAGGCAGCAUACCGGCGCCCGACUGACGCUGAGGCACGAAAGCGUGGGUAUCGAACAGGAUUAGAUACCCCUGUA
rnacentral:rRNA from 1 species